UGAAAUCAUUUCACCUUACACUUGUCCACGGUUUCCCGAGGGGAUAGGGUACCGUGGAACAAGGAAGUGGCAAAGAUAUUA